UACGUAGGGUGCGAGCGUUAAUCGGAAUUACUGGGCGUAAAGCGUGCGCAGGCGGUUUUGUCAGUCAGAUGUGAAAUCCCCGGGCUCAACCUGGGAACUGCGUUUGAAACUACAAGGCUAGAGUGUGGCAGAGGGGGGUGGAAUUCCACGUGUAGCAGUGAAAUGCGUAGAGAUGUGGAGGAACACCGAUGGCGAAGGCAGCCCCCUGGGUUAACACUGACGCUCAGGCACGAAAGCGUGGGGAGCAAACAGG
rnacentral:rRNA from 1 species